rnacentral:rRNA from 1 species
CGCUGCAUUAGCUAGUUGGUAAGGUAACGGCUUACCAAGGCAACGAUGCAUAGCCGACCUGAGAGGGUGAUCGGCCACACUGGAACUGAGACACGGUCCAGACUCCUACGGGAGGCAGCAGUAGGGAAUCUUCCGCAAUGGGCGAAAGCCUGACGGAGCAACGCCGCGUGAGUGAUGAAGGUCUUCGGAUCGUAAAACUCUGUUAUUAGGGAAGAACAUAUGUGUAAGUAACUGUGCACAUCUUGACGGUACCUAAUCAGAAAGCCACGGCUAACUACGUGCCAGCAGCCGCGGUAAUACGUAGGUGGCAAGCGUUAUCCGGAAUUAUUGGGCGUAAAGCGCGCGUAGGCGGUUUUUUAAGUCUGAUGUGAAAGCCCACGGCUCAACCGUGGAGGGUCAUUGGAAACUGGAAAACUUGAGUGCAGAAGAGGAAAGUGGAAUUCCAUGUGUAGCGGUGAAAUGCGCAGAGAUAUGGAGGAACACCAGUGGCGAAGGCGACUUUCUGGUCUGUAACUGACGCUGAUGUGCGAAAGCGUGGGGAUCAAACAGGAUUAGAUACCCUGGUAGUCCACGCCGUAAACGAUGAGUGCUAAGUGUUAGGGGGUUUCCGCCCCUUAGUGCUGCAGCUAACGCAUUAAGCACUCCGCCUGGGGAGUACGACCGCAAGGUUGAAACUCAAAGGAAUUGACGGGGACCCGCACAAGCGGUGGAGCAUGUGGUUUAAUUCGAAGCAACGCGAAGAACCUUACCAAAUCUUGACAUCCUUUGACAACUCUAGAGAUAGAGCCUUCCCCUUCGGGGGACAAAGUGACAGGUGGUGCAUGGUUGUCGUCAGCUCGUGUCGUGAGAUGUUGGGUUAAGUCCCGCAACGAGCGCAACCCUUAAGCUUAGUUGCCAUCAUUAAGUUGGGCACUCUAAGUUGACUGCCGGUGACAAACCGGAGGAAGGUGGGGAUGACGUCAAAUCAUCAUGCCCCUUAUGAUUUGGGCUACACACGUGCUACAAUGGACAAUACAAAGGGCAGCGAAACCGCGAGGUCAAGCAAAUCCCAUAAAGUUGUUCUCAGUUCGGAUUGUAGUCUGCAACUCGACUACAUGAAGCUGGAAUCGCUAGUAAUCGUAGAUCAGCAUGCUACGGUGAAUACGUUCCCGGGUCUUGUACACACCGCCCGUCACACCACGAGAGUUUGUAACACCCGAAGCCGGUGGAGUAACCUUUUAGGAGCUAGCCGUCGAAGGUGGGACAAAUGAUUGGGGUG